UGAACACGUAUUAGGAGGAAGUGGAGCAAUCAAGAUUGCCGCUUUGAUUAUAUUUGCACUUCUUGGCUUUCCUCUAGCUAUUACCUAUAGUGUUCCAUUUUCUGUUACAGCAGAGUUGACUGCCGAUUCUGGUGGUGGCCAAGGAUUGGCAAUUGGAGUUCUGAACCUUGCAAUUGUUCUUCCACGGGUAUGGAAUUUGAUAAGU